GGGGAUGAUCGGUUUCGACGAUGUGAGUUGAAACAGGUGAAGCGUGCCGAGGAUGUAGAGGACACUCGUAAAUACCCUCUGCAAAACAAUAAGUGCAAAACAAAAUCGCACUGACUUCGCACUCGCUGCCUAAGCGCGAGUCCAGUCUGUCGGCCUGAGUUCGCCUUUGACUCAGUACCCGGCAUCAACUUAGAAGGCCACUGCUUUAUGCCCUCGUCGUAGGGGCAUAAGGGACUCUUAUACGAAUAGGUUCGGCGGCAUAUGUGUUUACGCAAGUGCCGGAGCCGAAAACACCACUACGUAAACUACGCACGUAGAAGCCCUGUUGAAAACACAUCGGACCGGGGUUCGAUUCCCCGCAUCUCCACGA
rnacentral:tmRNA from 1 species